GACGAACGCUGGCGGCGUGCCUAAUACAUGCAAGUAGAACGCUGAAGGAGGAGCUUGCUUCUCUGGAUGAGUUGCGAACGGGUGAGUAACGCGUAGGUAACCUGCCUGGUAGCGGGGGAUAACUAUUGGAAACGAUAGCUAAUACCGCAUAAGAGUAGAUGUUGCAUGACAUUUGCUUAAAAGGUGCAAUUGCAUCACUACCAGAUGGACCUGCGUUGUAUUAGCUAGUUGGUGGGGUAACGGCUCACCAAGGCGACGAUACAUAGCCGACCUGAGAGGGGGUUCGGCCACACUGGGACUGAGGCACGGCCCAGCCUCCUACGGGAGGCAGCAGUAGGGAAUCUUCGGCAAUGGACGGAAGUCUGACCGAGCAACGCCGCGUGAGUGAAGAAGGUUUUCGGAUCGUAAAGCUCUGUUGUAAGAGAAGAACGAGUGUGAGAGUGGAAAGUUCACACUGUGACGGUAUCUUACCAGAAAGGGACGGCUAACUACGUG
rnacentral:rRNA from 1 species